GAUGAACGCUGGCGGCGUGCCUAAUACAUGCAAGUCGAACGCUUUGUCUUUAAUUGAUAUGAAGAGCUUGCUCUGAUUUGAUUUUAUCUGACAAAGAGUGGCGAACGGGUGAGUAACACGUGGGUAACCUACCUCUUAGCAGGGGAUAACAUUUGGAAACAAGUGCUAAUACCGAAUAACACUAACAAGCGCAUGGUUGUUAGUUGGAAGAUGGUUCUGCUAUCACUAAGAGAUGGACCCGCGGUGCAUUAGAUGGUUGGUAAGGUAAUGGCUUACCAAGGCGAUGAUGCGUAGCCGAGUUGAGGGACGGAUCGGCCACAAUGGGACUGAGACACGGCCCAUACUCCUACGGGGGGCAGCAGUAGGGAAUCUUCCACAAAGGGCGCAAGCCUGAUGGAGCAACGCCGCGUGUGUGAUGAGGGGUUUCGGCUCGUAAAACACUGUUAUAAGAGAAGAACGACAUUGAGAGUAACUGUUCAGUGUGUGACGGUAUCUUACCAGAAAGGAACGGCUAAAUACGUG
rnacentral:rRNA from 1 species